rnacentral:rRNA from 1 species
AUUGAACGCUGGCGGCAUGCUUUACACAUGCAAGUCGAACGGCAGCGCGGGCUUCGGCCUGGCGGCGAGUGGCGAACGGGUGAGUAAUGCAUCGGAACGUGCCCAGUAGUGGGGGAUAGCCCGGCGAAAGCCGGAUUAAUACCGCAUACGACCUGAGGGUGAAAGCGGGGGACCGAAAGGCCUCGCGCUAUUGGAGCGGCCGAUGUCGGAUUAGCUAGUUGGUGGGGUAAAGGCUUACCAAGGCGACGAUCCGUAGCUGGUCUGAGAGGACGACCAGCCACACUGGGACUGAGACACGGCCCAGACUCCUACGGGAGGCAGCAGUGGGGAAUUUUGGACAAUGGGGGCAACCCUGAUCCAGCCAUGCCGCGUGCGGGAAGAAGGCCUUCGGGUUGUAAACCGCUUUUGUUCGGGAAGAAAUCCUCUGGGCUAAUACCCCGGGGGGAUGACGGGACCGGAAGAAUAAGCACCGGCGAACUACGU